UGGGUAGGGGCGCGGGCUGCAUGAGUAACCGCCGGGGAGGAGCGGGUAUCCAAUGAACCGGGGCCAAAGGGCAGACCGCCGAAGUCCGGCGGCAAAACCCGUAGCGCCGGGCUGGGCCGGUAUCGAACAGGUGCCGGACUGUCACCCGUGCAGCGUGCCGAGGCGCGGGUGGAGCACUACU
rnacentral:ncRNA from 1 species